UACGUAGGGUGCGAGCGUUGUCCGGAUUUAUUGGGCGUAAAGAGCUCGUAGGCGGUUUGUCGCGUCUGCUGUGAAAACUCGGGGCUCAACUCCGAGCUUGCAGUGGGUACGGGCAGACUAGAGUGCGGUAGGGGAGACUGGAAUUCCUGGUGUAGCGGUGAAAUGCGCAGAUAUCAGGAGGAACACCGAUGGCGAAGGCAGGUCUCUGGGCAUUAACUGACGCUGAGGAGCGAAAGCAUGGGGAGCGAACAGG
rnacentral:rRNA from 1 species